UACGUAGGGCGCAAGCGUGUCCGGAAUUAUUGGGCGUAAAGAGCUCGUAGGCGGUCUGUUACGUCCGCUGUGAAAACCCGCAGCUCAACUGCGGGCUUGCGGUCGAUACGGGCAGGCUCGAGUUCGGUAGGGGAGACUGGAAUUCCUGGUGUAGCGGUGAAAUGCGCAGAUAUCAGGAGGAACACCGGUGGCGGAAGGCGGGUCUCUGGGCCGAUACUGACGCUGAGGAGCGAAAGCGUGGGGAGCGAACAGG
rnacentral:rRNA from 1 species